rnacentral:lncRNA from 1 species
UUGGGAGACCGAGGCGGGUGGAUCACUUGACAUCAGGAGUUUGAGACCAGCCUGGCCAACAUGGUAAAAGCCUUGUCUCUACUAAAAAUACAAAAAUUUGCCAGGUGUGGUGGCAUGUGCCUGUAGUCCCAGCUACUCUGGAAGCCGCGUCACAAGAAUCGCUUGAACCCAGGAGGCAAGGUUGAGGUGAGCCGAGAUAGCACCACUGUACUCCAGCCUGGAUAACACAGUGAGACUCUGUCUCAAAAAAAAAAAAAAGGCAGAAAAACAAAAGAACUCUAAGGCAAAUCUAAACUGUAGGAUGAGAUCAGAGGUAUGGCUAUGCUGCUCAUGGUUUGUAUGGUGAACUGGUCUCUAAAGAUGAGAAAGGCAAGAAAUUAUGAAGCCUAAGCAGCAGAUACCAUGAGUAACUGCCACCUUAAAAAUAAAGAAAUACAUAAAGCAUUACCAAUAAGAUAGUUAAUGCCUCAGGACCAUUCAUUAAUUAGUUGUUUUGAUUUAAUUUCUUAGUGUAUAAUAAAAGCACCAGAUAGACUGGGCAUGGUGGCUCAUGCCUGUAAUCCCAGCAGUCUGGGAAGCCAAGAUGAGUGGAUCACUUGAGCUCAGGAGUUCAAGACCAGCCUGGGCAACAUGGUGAAACACUGUCUCUACAGAAAAUACAAAAUUAGCAGGGCAUGGUAGUGUGUGCCUGUAGUCCACUUUUAUAAAGGCACUAAUCCCAUUCACGAGGGCUCUGACUUAUAAAAGAGGCCCAAGCGAGCUUGUUUGCCCCUUUUAACAGGUACGGACACGUAGAAGGAUCUGUCUAUGAGGAAUGGGCCCUCAACCAAACACUGACUCUGCGGGCACCUGAAUUUUGGACUUCCCAGUCUCCAGAACUGUGAGAAAUAUCUGUCUAUUGUUUAUAAAUUACCCAGCCUAAGGUAUUUUGUUUUAGCACCCCAGACAGACUAAGACACCACCUCCUCCCCAACUGAUACCAUGUGUUAGAAUUAACAACUUAUUUCAGUUCUAUUUAUCUUUCAAAAUCCCAUUCAAAAACUGCCUCCUCCAUUCUCUAACUCUGGUCUCAUCAAUACUCUGCAUCAUAUCAUUUAAGUAUAAAUUUGUUUUUGGUAGUAUCCCAACAAAUCUAUGCACCUUGUGGAGAAAGAACACAUACUAUUCUUUUUUUUUUUUUUUU